rnacentral:rRNA from 1 species
ACGAGGGUGACAGGUGGUGCAUGGUUGUCGUCAGCUCGUGUCGUGAGAUGUUGGGUUAAGUCCCGCAACGAGCGCAACCCUCGCCUCUAGUUGCCAGCAUUCGGUUGGGCACUCUAGAGGGACUGCCGGCGACAAGUCGGAGGAAGUGGGGAUGACGUCAAAUCAUCAUGCCCCUUAUGACCUGGGCUACACACGUGCUACAAUGGGCGGUACAAAGGGCUGCGAACCCGCGAGGGGGAGCGAAUCCCAAAAAGCCGCUCUCAGUUCGGAUUGCAGGCUGCAACUCGCCUGCAUGAAGCCGGAAUCGCUAGUAAUCGCGGAUCAGCAUGCCGCGGUGAAUACGUUCCCGGGCCUU